AGUGAACGCUGGCGGUAGGCCUAACACAUGCAAGUCGAACGGCAGCACAGUAAGAGCUUGCUCUUACGGGUGGCGAGUGGCGGACGGGUGAGGAAUACAUCGGAAUCUACUUUUUCGUGGGGGAUAACGUAGGGAAACUUACGCUAAUACCGCAUACGACCUACGGGUGAAAGCAGGGGAUCUUCGGACCUUUCGCGAUUGAAUGAGCCGAUGUCGGAUUAGCUAGUUGGCGGGGUAAAGGCCCACCAAGGCGACGAUCCGUAGCUGGUCUGAGAGGAUGAUCAGCCACACUGGAACUGAGACACGGUCCAGACUCCUACUGGAGGCAGCAGUGGGGAAUAUUGGACAAUGGGCGCAAGCCUGAUCCAGCCAUACCGCGUGGGUGAAGAAGGCCUUCGGGUUGUAAAGCCCUUUUGUUGGGAAAGAAAAGCAGCAGGUUAAUACGCCGCUGUUCUGACGGUACCCAAAGAAUAAGCACCGGCUAACUUCGUG
rnacentral:rRNA from 1 species